UGUGACUUCUUCUAUGCCUGCAUUCAGCUACUGAAUCGUAGCUGAAGUGGGCUGGAAUUAGUCUUUGAGAGCUGAUAACUUCUUACAUUUACUGAAGAUGAGAGAACAUCUGAUUAUACACACUUACUGCUUCUUUGGGAUUUGCCUGGCUUGGCUCAAGCCAGCAGUCUUGCUAUAUAUGUCUCAUUCUCUGUAUUUACAAAAGUAAGUGAUAGCAUAUAUCUGGCUCCUCAGCUGUGCAAGAAAUAUAACGAGAGAAUACUGUUUUUAAAAACAUCCAGAGUGACACAGACUGUUCCCUAAGUCUUGUGAGGGUACCACAUGAGAAAGGAAAUCCCAUAAGAAAAGGACAAGCAUUGUUUGGAUAUUUUGGUUGUCCUUGAAAACUUACAGGGAUGUAAGAAUGUGGGAAUGUGGGAACCAAAGUGAAGGACUAGAACACGUCAGAAAUUUUGCCUUUAAAUUUAUGUUCUUGCAAAUACAAGGGAGGAAAAGAAGCAUUUGAUAUAUUUACAGCCCUUAUACAGGAUGGGAAAGAAUGAAGCAGAAAAAUGAUGCAACUCAUUUAAAGAAGGCUUGGCAGUGCCAGACACAGAAACUAGAUCUGAUACCCAAGCCACUGCCUUAACUUUGCUGUCAUUGCCCUUUCAACUUCAUGCUAUGCAAUAAGCAUUCAAGCUGCGUACACAUACAAAGAAAAUCUUCACUUGCUUUUAAAAAAAAGAUGCCUAAACUAAUAGGUUCAUAGCUGGACACCAAGUGUGCCAAAUAUUCAGGACAUCUUUAUGCAUGAAAUUUUAUGACAGCAGUGCAUCGUUUGACUUUUUUUUUCCUUUUUUAAUAAGAACUUCUAUUUAGGUAUGCUAUGUAGAAGUAUUGCAGAAAAGAAAAAUGUUUUGUGAAAAGAAAAAUAAACUGCUCCUGUUUCAGUG
ensembl:lncRNA